rnacentral:lncRNA from 1 species
ACUGUAGAGCGUCAGCCCCCAAAGCAGAAAGACUUUAACCUUUCUCCUAUUCCCCACUGAGUUAUUUCCUCGUGGAUGGUUAUUAUUUCAGUUUCCUCCCUAGUUGAUUAUCUGGAUGAAACCACUCCCCUUGAGUUAUAUCCUCAUUGGGUUGAGUCUUGAUUGACCGUCUCUUUCUAGAUCUUACCUAAAUAGAUGUCCUUAGUUUGCAGUUUUUUG